rnacentral:tRNA from 1 species
GGUAGGAUGGCUGAUGAUAAGCGGUGGAUUGUAGCCCCAAGAAUGCAGGUUUAAGUCCUGUUCUUACCA